CUUUCUUACAGCGAGGGGCCCAAAACUGGACACAGUACUCGAGGUGCGGCCUCACCAGUGCUGAGUACAGGGGGACAAUUACUUCCCUGUUCCUGCUGGCCACACUAUUUCUGAUACAAGCCAGGAUGCCAUUGGCCUUCUUGGCCACCUGGGCACACUGCCGGCUCAUGUUCAGUCUAGCGUCAAUCAACACCCCCAGGUCCAUUUCCUCUACACAGUCUCCCAGCCACUCUGCCCCAAGCCUGUAGCGUUGCCUGGGGUUAUUGUGGCCAAAGUGCAGGACCCGGCAUUUGGUCUUGUUGAAUCCCAUCCCAUUGGCUUCAACCCAGAUAUCCAACCUAUCCAGAUCAAUCUGUACAUACAAGUACAUUUAAUGCCUAUUUGCAUAUAUGAAUGUGAAUGGAAACAGUGUACAAGUAUUUCUAUUUAUUAUAAAAAUUAGUUUAUAUUCAACUCUAUUUUUUCUUGAAAACAUCAUACAUUAGACUUAAGUUGCUGUAGACAUAGUGACAAUAGUUUUUUUGUUUUUUUUUUCCAAAUGAGAAUUUUCAUUUAUACCAAUAUUUUAGGAAAUCUGAGAAAUACUUUGUCUCCAAAUAAUCAUUUUUCUUAUACUGUUGAAGAAAUCAAGCUUUUUUUCUAGUGAAACAAACUAAACCCUUG
rnacentral:lncRNA from 1 species